rnacentral:rRNA from 1 species
CCUACGGGUGGCUGCAGUGGGGAAUAUUGGGCAAUGGAGGCAACUCUGACGCAGCCAUGCCGCGUGAGUGAAGAAGGUUUUCGGAUUGUAAAGCUCUUUCGGCUGUGACGAUGAUUACGGUAGCAUCUAACGCAGCCCCGGCUAACUUCGUUCCAGCAGCCGCGGUCAUACGAAGGGGGCAAGCGUUGUUCGGAAUUACUGGGCGUAAAGGGAGUGGGGGCGGUUUAGUAAGAUAGUGGUGAAAUCCCAGAGCUUAACUUUGGAAGUGCAAUUAUAACUAUUAGACUAGAAUUACAGAGAGGAGAGUGGAAUACCCAGUGUAGAGGUGAAAUUCGUAGAGAUUGGGUAGAACACCAGUGGCGAAGGCGACUAGCUGGACGGAAAUUGACGCUGAGGCUCGAAAGCAUGGGGAUCAAACAGGAUUAGAUACCCGGGUAGUC